UUAUGCUUGUAGAGUACGCCAUAUACUCACGCUUAUUAUAUUUCUUUUGGAUAUAAAUCCCGGAUGGGUAACACAUGGAGGUGGCUAUGAGGACUAUCCUGAGGACUUUUAGUCUUGUGCUUCAUUAGUCAACCUUACCUGUGUGAUGGCCUAAAGAGAGUUAUCUAAUUCGUUUCCGCUGUUGUAUCAGACUAUGUGAUGUUAUGACUAUAUUUAUUUUAAAUACUACAAUGAUGACAUGUAAUUUGUGACUUAUGUGUGUGAUUGAUCCUUGUGCACGCAUGAGUUUAUGCAUUCAAUUUCAUUCUUGAAAUUGGGUGUGAUAGUCAUUCAACAGUGUUUUUCUCUCAUAAGAAGUUAGCCAAUAGUACUUUAUGGCAUGACUUAUCAGCCAAACUAACAAGAUAUACCAAUCACUAGAACAGAAUAAACAAUAUGGUUGUUUGUUUUUUUAGAUAGGAUGCCCGAAGGGCGACCAGCACACGCGUAGGGCACGACCCCAGGUCCCCCCAACCUGAAUGUCUGGUGGCAUGUACAUGCUGCGCAUGUACUAUCGUCACCGUCCAAAGCUGCCUCGAGAUAUGUAACAAUCUUCUCUCUAUUGUAUUCUUCUGUGGCCACUUUUAUUUUUCAACCGUAUUCGUCCUGUACUUCCUUUUUUCAAUGCCACAGCUCUGUGUAGGACCACCCACUUUCUGCCGCAAACUUCUGGACUAUAGUGUACUAGCAUCGCAUCGCUCCUCUCUCUGACUGUUUUUUCUUUUUUGUUAUUUCUUUUAAUUUUUUCGUUUACAUUAACAAAUGGAGUACAUUAGUACUUUUCAUUUAUUUCACUAAUUAUAUAUUUUUCAUAGUUACUAUUCUUUGGAACACUUUUUAUUGUACCCAUUUCGUGAUUUAUUUCCCAUAAAUCUGUUAAACGCCUCUUUUAUACCCAUUUCUUGGAACACUUUUUAUGUACACCCUCUUUGCACUAUUUACAAUACGUAAAUAUAUAGUUCAAUGUAUCUUCUAUUUAAAUCGAGGAGAAAACAGAGAUGAAGAGAUCGAACGGGACCAGUUAUAUGGUAUAGAAGAAGUAUAGCUAAUGUAUAGUACACAUGUACCCAACGUAUACAAGCAAGAAGCAAUUAAUAUAGAAAUCAUGCUGUCAUUGUCAGUUGCACGUAUCUCGAGGUUGGCUAGACGGCUGGGAUAAUACCUGCUCAACAUGUACAGAUAAAAAAAACCAUGUUCCACGACUAAGAGCCUCACAGGUGUUCCUCACUUCCCGUCGCACAAACGCGUAGCUGUGCGAGUAUUACCAGUCCUA
rnacentral:lncRNA from 1 species